UGUGGGGCUUGACCCCAUGAACCGUGAGAUCAUGACCUGAGCAGAAGUCAAACACUUAACUGCCCCUCUCUUAAUACGUUUUACACCCAACUUUGAACAACUGGGCAAAUUUUACAUAAAAAUGCAGACUUCUGGUGGCUGUCAUAGGCAGUACAGGGCUGGCCUUCCCAUAGGGAUGGAAGGAGAAGCCAUGGCCCCCUAGGAUAGGUCUCCGGCUCCCUGACCUCAUCCAGCCCCCAACCCUCACAGGAGUCUGCACAUCUGCUUGUGGCCGGCGGGCUGUAGGCCGGCUACUGUGCCCACAGACUGUUGCGGUUCCCUUGGCCACGUCGGGGGUGCCGUCUGCUCUUGCCGAGGGGAACGCCGUCUCACCCACGUCCCUCACCCCACGUCUCUCCUGGGUUGCCGUGGCCCAUUUCGAACUGCCUCCAGCUCCAGGCCCCUCCCAGGUCCUCGCGGGCCCCCUUUCCGUGCCGAGCCUGCCAGGGACUCAGCAGGCACCCUCCUGGCUUCCCAGGGGUCUGCCCAGUUGUAACAGCAGGAAUACACCCCCCGAGUCACUGACCACAGGUAGACAGAACCGUGACUCCGGUCCCCAACUCCAGGUGAGACGGACAAAGGGAGUUUUCUCUGAUCUCUGGGGGUGGGGCCACAGGUGGAAAGAAUACCAGGGCUCUAGGGUCAGAAUGUCUCAGGUCCAAAUCCUACCUCUGCCUGUUAUCAGCUGUUGUGUGGCCCCGGGGCGGGUCACUUCAUCUCUGCUCAUGUACAAAACGCAACAAAACAGAAGAUGUGCUGGAGGGUCUGGUACAGAGUAGUCACUAUGUCGUGGGUCGCUGCCCCUGCCACGGCGAGGGUUCCGCGUGGCACAGUCCCACACGGGGUACUCAGGGGUCCGCCAGCCAGAAGCGAGCCCUUUCCCUGCCGCCCCUCUUUCUUCCAGGAAACAGUGGGCAGUGCUAGUGUUCACAGUCCGAUUCUGAGCUGCCGGGGGGUCCUGACCCUGCAACGGGACUUCACUUUCAGGUGGGGGAUUAAAUCCGGAUGGCGCGUCUGUGCGCCCUUCUCAGGGGCUCGCGCCCACCCCAGAGAAUCCUCUCUAUGCCGAGGCCGAGAGUGCCGGUAACGUCAGGUGCAGGAAUCAUUUUCUGAUUAGUGCCCCUUCCGUGGGUGUCCAGCUCAAUGUCAGGAGUCCUCUCUGUUAGUGGCACUUUCUGCCUUAGCUUAUCUUCACCGGUUAAGGAGAUGCCACAAUGUUAAUCCAUUGCAAGGGUUUUGAACAAACAGUCAUGAAUAUUUGAGCCUCUGCUUUGCCUACUAAGGGAAAUGCCAUCGAAGAUAAUUAUUUUUACGCCUGCCUGACAGAAAGAUGUACACAGAGGACAGGGAUUAUAUUACCCUCUGAGCAAAAUUCAGAAACCGUGAACCUAGAUGGUCCUCGUCUUCACUGCGAUUCUUCCUACGGCCGAAUAUGCCGAAUUUCUGGACCCGGAGGGGAAAAUGCCAGCAAAAGAGCUUAAACAGUGUUACCAGUGUCCUGACCAGGGGGACGGGACCUGGGCCGGGGUUCGGAGACAUGGACCCCUCUCUGGCACAUCGCUCUUCCCUCCCUGGCCAAGGGAUUUUAAGGAGAAACGUUAAGAUGGUGCACUCUCCCAGGGUCCUUACCACCGUCUGGAAGCAGGAGUGUAGCUGUGUCAGGAACGGGGGCUUGUCGAGCAAGGCCAGGACUCG